UCUUGGAUUUAUGAAAGACGAACAACUGCGAAAGCAUUUGCCAAGGAUGUUUUCAUUAAUCAAGAACGAAAGUUGGGGGCUCGAAGACGAUCAGAUACCGUCCUAGUCUCAACCAUAAACGAUGCCGCCCAGGGAUCGGCGGAUGUUGCUUAUAGGACUCCGCCGGCACCUUAUGAGAAAUCAAAGUCUUUGGGUUCCGGGGGG
rnacentral:ncRNA from 1 species